rnacentral:rRNA from 1 species
GACGAACCGUGCAAACGUUGUUCGGAAUCACUGGGCUUAAAGGGCGCGUAGGCGGCUCGCCAAGUCGGGGGGUGAAAUCUUUCGGCUCAACCGGAAAAGUGCCUUCGAUACUGGCGGGCUGGAGGGAGGUAGGGGCAUGUGGAACUUCCGGUGGAGCGGUGAAAUGCGUAGAUAUCUGGAGGAAUACCGGUGGCGAAGGCGGCAUCCUGGACCGGCAUUGACGCUGAGGAGCGAAAGCGUGGGGAUCAAACAGG